UUGGUGGCCAUGGCGGUCUGGGCCGGGGAGGGCGCGGGCCCGGGCGGCCGGCGCUCCUGGCAGGCGGCGGCUGCACAGGUCCCGCCGCCUGAGAUUGCCUACGGCUGCUUUCCUGAUACAAUAGCAGAAUUGAGUAAUUGCAACGAACAACAGCGUAUGACGUGCAAGGCCUAAAGUUUGUGCCAUCUGGCUGUUUGCAGAAAAACUUUGACGAUCUUUGUGCUAGAGUCAAAGAUGCUUCUCACAUAUGCUUCCCCGAACUGCCUCAGAUUCCCCCUUGCUGCAACCCAAAGGCCACAGACCCCCGUUGAAUCAGAAAACUCUGGAGUUGGAAGGAGGUAUUAGUGGAUAUCCAGUGAGAUUUCCCAUCUGAGACCAGAAUCUUCCAAGGAUGCCUUCUCAAGUGAUCCCCUGACGGUGAAGGCACACCAUUGCCUGAAGGGGCCAACUCACCUUUUCUGGGAAGUUCUGGCUGUUGAAAAGUGAUUCCUUAUAUUGAGCUAAAAUCUUGUAGAAAGAAAAAUUGUUCAAGUUUUAUUAUUUUAUGAUGCCAUCUCCAGCCUUUGGAGGAGGAAGACUCCAUCAUCAGCAAGGUUGCUUCAAACCAGAAGGCAUGGAAGGAGAUAGAGGUGGAGGGAGGACAUGUGCCAUCUCUUUGGCCCAGGGUUGAAGGUUUUCCAGGUCACAGGACAGUGCACAGAUCUCCAGAGAUCAUUAGACACAAAUAAUCUGCAGAACUAGAAACAAAGGCUACAAACUCUUGCCACAGAAAAGAUGUAGAGGCACUUUUUUACAGGACAAAUUUUCCUAUUGGCAGAGAUCAUGGAAAAAACAAAGUGGUCCCAGGCUGGGGAAGAGACAGGAAAGCAUGAGAGAGAGGAAUGGAAAGCCUCAAUCUGGGACCCUGGGCCUGCAAGGAUGGACUGCCAAGUGCUAGCCAUCCACUCGUCAUCCAUCGAUUUUCUAGUCUUGAGUGGUGCUCAUCUAAGCCUGAGAUUCUGCUCAUCUCCCCUGAAUCUGUAUGUACACUGCCUUCCUCUUAGCCCUAGCAACCCACUGUUGAAUUCCCAUUUUAUUGACAGAACAGUGGAGAUUUCAGGAGGCUGAGCAUUGCCUAGAAAUUACCAGCAGGGUUGAAGCUAGAACUUAAGCCUCAUGAAUCCCUGUUGAAAACUCUUUCCAGUACCCCAUAAUAUUGCCUAAAAUCUGAUUUGUGGAUCAUAGUUAUUCAAAGUCAACACUUCUGUCCCUCAUUGUUCCUUGGGCAAUUACUUCUUCUGUGAUGAGGAAUAAACAAGAUGGUGACAGGCUCCUGAAGUUGUUUUGUCAUUUCUAACCUGGCCUUCCACUCCUGCAGCUAAAGACAGGGUUAUUUCUGGUGAAAUCCUUGCUGUAAAGUACACCAAUCAAUUUUCCUUACAAAUGGUUUCUAAUAUGUAAUUAUAUAAUCAAGCAUGCUCAUAAACAAGCCAGGCCUUGACAUAGAGUGAUGGGGUGCAGUAAUAUUUUAAAUAAAAGAUGAUCGCACAGCCAUUUAUUUUGUAGUCCAAUUUUCAGGGUUGGGAACUGUACAUUAAUGGCAGUUUCAAGAUUAGCAGCGAGCUAAAUGUGAAACUCUGUGAGUCAAUGCCUUCGACAUAAACAAAUGUACAAAAAUAGCAUCCUGCAACUGUUUGCAAAGUCUGACAGAGUUUCAGGGCUUUCUGCAAAGCAGAGGGUGCAAAGAGUACCAGAUUCAUCACAUUCUGGCAGCUAUCUGUUCAAAAACAAUGGUUUUGUCUACAAAUGGAAACUGCUAACAGCUUUCUCCAUCCAGUGCAAUCGUCUUUCCAUCUGUUUGGGUUUUAUAAUCAUGUUGCCUUUGGAAAAUUACAACACAGAGCAUAUUCUUUCGAGGUCUGUUGUUGAGCUGAAUAUUCUGGGCCAUGAAAUGGUGACAACAGUGAAGAAUUUCCCUGCAAAAGCAUUGCAACAGUUGCAUUCCCAAAAGCUACCCCUGUGCUGCAAGGCUCUGGCAGGAGUGGAGCGUCAAAUUGUGUUUAGCAGAGCACAGUUUAAAAAACAUUCACAUACACUUGAAUAGCCACAAUCUGACACUUGCACUGCUUUGGUGUAAUGGAUGCUCUUUCUCCCGCCUUUCUUCAUCUUUAUUCCUUACUCCUUUUUUUCCAUUUCCCUACCAAAAUAUAUUAUUACCUAAUGUGUGCAAAGUCAUGAGGGAUCUGGACAGCUCCUCCAGCCUGUGAUCUCAAGAAAGAACAUUAUUCCUUUGUAUCUCCUGAUCCUUUGCCUAGAGUCCAGCUCAGGGUGGGUAUUCAGUACCUAAGUGAUGAAUAAAUGAAAGAAUGAUGCUUUAUCUUUCAUGUGAUGCUUUAUACCUUAUAAAACCUUGUGUACUUUGUAAAACAUUUUCACUGAU